rnacentral:rRNA from 1 species
CCUACGGGUGGCUGCAGUGAGGAAUAUUGGUCAAUGGACGGAAGUCUGAACCAGCCAUGUCGCGUGCAGGAAGACGGCCCUAUGAGUUGUAAACUGCUUUUGUACAAGGGUAAAAUUGAACACGUGUAUUCAGCUGAAAGUACCGUAUGAAUAAGGAUCGGCUAACUCCGUGCCAGCAGCCGCGGUAAUACGGAGGGGGCAAGCGUUAUCCGGAUUUACUGGGUGUAAAGGGAGCGUAGACGGCAGGGCAAGUCUGGUGUGAAAGGCGGGGGCUCAACCCCCAGACUGCAGUUGAAACUGGACGGCUGGAGUGCAGGAGAGGUAAGUGGAAUUCCUGGUGUAGCGGUGAAAUGCGUAGAUAUUAGGAAGAACACCAAUGGCGAAGGCAGCUUACUGGACUGUAACUGACGUUGAGGCUCGAAAGCGUGGGGAGCAAACAGGAUUAGAUACCCGGGUAGUC